rnacentral:rRNA from 1 species
UGUUUAACUUGAGUGCAGAAGGGGAGAGAGAAUUCCAUGUGUAGCGGUGAAAUGCGUAGAUAUAGGGAGGAACACCGGUGGGGAAAGCGGCUCUCUGGUCUGUAACUGACGCUGAGGCUCGAAAGCGUGGGGAGCGAACAGG